rnacentral:rRNA from 1 species
UAAGGAAUAUUGGUCAAUGGACGCAAGUCUGAACCAGCCAUGCCGCGUGGAGGAUGAAGGUCCUCUGGAUUGUAAACUUCUUUUAUCUGGGACGAAACACUUCUUUUCUAAGAGGCCUGACGGUACCAGAUGAAUAAGCACCGGCUAACUCCGUGCCAGCAGCCGCGGUAAUACGGAGGGUGCGAGCGUUAUCCGGAUUUACUGGGUUUAAAGGGUGCGUAGGUGGGCUUAUAAGUCAGUGGUGAAAUCUCCGAGCUUAACUUGGAAACUGCCGUUGAUACUAUAGGUCUUGAAUUAUCUGGAGGUAAGCGGAAUAUGUCAUGUAGCGGUGAAAUGCUUAGAUAUGACAUAGAACACCAAUUGCGAAGGCAGCUUACUACAUAUAAAUUGACGCUGAGGCACGAAAGCGUGGGGAUCAAACAG